AUACGGAGGGUGCAAGCGUUACUCGGAAUCACUGGGCGUAAAGCGCGCGCAGGCGGCCUGAUAAGUUGGAUGUGAAAGCCUACGGCUCAACCGUAGAACUGCAUCCAAAACUGUCAGGCUAGAGUGUGCGAGAGGAAGAUGGAAUUAGUUGUGUAGGGGUAAAAUCCGUAGAGAUAACUAGGAAUACCAAAAGCGAAGGCAAUCUUCUGGAACACUACUGACGCUGAGGCGCGAAGGCGUGGGGAGCAAACAGAAUUAGAAACCCCAGUAGUCC
rnacentral:rRNA from 1 species